CUAUCUAUCGGCGCGAUGUGCGCAAACGGGAGUGUCGGCGAUUUUAAAACCGAUUCUUUUCGGAUUCGGCAAGUCUUUUUGGCGAAGGUUAUCGCGAAUUGCGGCGGACAAGACUGGAUUUGACAAACGCGAAUCGAGACGAGUAUAUAAAUGAGCAACGAGGGCGGCUCUGGAACGCGAUAUGCGUUUUUUCGCCGAAAUGUUCAUCGCGAGGUUAUCGAGCGACACUCAUCGAUAUGGCGGCAAAUUUUGCGGGACGAGGAAGGACAACGGCAUUUUAAAAGUCGACUCACACCAAUCUCGGGAUGAUUGAAUCAGGUCAUAGUAGACACUUCACGAAAUUAUCUCGCCAUUAUUCUAGGAAAUCCUGCGUUCUACGAUAUACAUCUCGGAGUUUAGCGAGCGCUUCUCGUCGUGAUCCCCCGAAGAUGACGCGUAUCAUCCGCGUAACUGGCUCUUGUCCCACGGAUAGGAAACGUUAAUGGGUGCCCUCGCGAGCGAGGUGGGCGCCCAUUAAAACUAGGAUCCGGCGUUUAGAGCCGCUGACAAAUGUGACGUGAUCCGAGGCGCGCCGUAUCCUCUUAGCUCUCUCGUCGCGCGCUUGCUCAUCCGAGUUAAUUGUCGGCCGCAAUUAAGAGCCGUGUUUUAUUGAACACAUCGCGCGAGCGGGAUCAUGGGAAAGGGUUAUAUCGUCGUCCGGCCCGAAAAACGUAACGCCGCGUAAAUCAUGCCGUUAAUUAGGCCCGCCGUCGCGAACGGCGACAACGAAUUCACGUCUCGUUUCCUCGUUUUGCCUUAAAGAUCCACGAUGAUUCCUCCCCUCCGCUUGUACCCGCGGACCUAAGAUGACGGCGAUGGCGCGAUGGUGAUCGCAGCUGGUGGCGAAAGGACGCACGGAGAGAAAAUGCUAAGAGAUAAAUGGGACAAUUAUGGAAUACCAGACGGACGGAGGGGGAGCGUUCAACCUUUCCAGGAAAGAAAGUCGCCGCAUUGUGUGCCCCCGAGAUUCGCCGGCCACCCUUCCCGGACGCGAUUCCAAUCACCGAGGUAUCGCGCAAAUUGUCCGUAAUCCUGGCAAUGCGCGCGCUCUUUUCUCUGUAAAUAACACGUCGUGAGUGCGGAGCAACGAGCGCAUCCGCACUCUCGUUGUUAAUCCAGCUGUAUCGCCUCGCGCUAGUUUUAUUCGCGGUGGCGAAUUGGUGCACGCCGCGCCUUUUGAGGAAACAAGUCGCCGCAGCCGACAGAUAGUUGUUACCGUUCGUUACGACGUGAUCGCAUUAAACGCAAUCAGGGUUUAAUCAUACAUUGUACGAGCGGAUCGAGUAAGAAGGAGUACAAACGGAUGGGCUUGUUUCUAAGUAAAACGAAUAGUCUGAUAACAGAGCCUUAUAUAACCCUUCCUUUCUCAUGUACACUUCGUUUCAUCGUUGAGAAAUUUGUACAUCAAAAUUAAUAAAUUAGUAAAUAAUAAAGAAAAGACUCGACUAGAGCCUUUAAUUCUCUACCUCUUGAUAAUCCGACGUGAAUGCGCUUGCGACGAUUUGAAAUUGUGUGCAUCAGUGUAAAACUUAUUCCAGAAACCGGUUCUUUUUUAACCGCGGUCUUUCUUUUAUAAAAUAUCACACAUAAAUUUCUCUCUUUAUCAUUAAGGUAUAUCGUUCGUUUUUGAAUUACGAUUUAUAUAGCUCUUCGGAGUAAUAUUUUAGAUUCCUUUUUUUCUUUUUGACUGGUAUAUUGAUUCGGUUCCGCAUUGGAUCGCUACAUUCUUUUUAUCGUAACCAAAUCGUGAGACCAAAAAUGUUAUUGAACAAUAUGAGUAGAAGCCCGUGAUAUCUUUUUUGUACAUCGAAAUCAACGUUGCCCGGUGUAACGGUGUACGUGAGAAGUUUACGAUCCGAAUUUUAUCGGGAAGAUUUUUUUUAUUUUAUUGACGCGGUCAUCGGGUCAUGAUUUUCGAUCACCAGCCAUCUUGCGGCGUUUUUAAAGGGAAGAGCUGUUCAAGGCGAGCCACAUGCUACCGCAAUUAACGGUCCGGUAUUUCAUCUGAGAAACAAGGCGAAACAACCUAUAUUAUUGCAUCAUGGUCGAUAUGACAGCUGUAAGAAUACAUUAAAUCUCGGAAAAGUAGUGCAACGAGCGCAAAUUACUCUCAUGGAUAAAGGUGCAGCUGUUAAUAUAAAUGUCAUAUUGUACGAAUUUUGUACGGCAAUAUAUCUCUAUAUAAUAACAAGAAUAUUAUAUGUUACAAAUAAUAUCUGGGUAUUUAUAAAUAUGAUAAUGAUAUUUAAAUUUUUUCCACGCCAAUCUACCAACUGUCCGUUAUCAGAUUUCGUUAGAUUUCUACUUCAAUUCUGCCGACAUCGUCGAAUGCAAAUAUAAAAAUUAUAUAAAGCGACAUGAUCGAUGCAAAAUCUGUCGGCAGAAUUCCAAUAGAAUGUAACGAGAUCUACUAAGGACAGAAUAGGUAUAAUAACAGAUAUUUUAUAAAAUCUAAAAAUAGAUAAUCGCGUUAUUAUGUAUGCUGUUUGUUAUUAAUAUCCCGAGAAACAAAAAAUAUACGCAUACAUACAAGUAGAAAGGAAUACUAAAUACCAGAAAUUACCCAACCGCGAAUAACUGUCCGUUUUACAUUAUUAUGUAACGUCAACGGUGAUAAUUAAUGCGGUAAUUAAUUGAAUCACAUGCAGUAUGCAAUAAGACGUUCUUUAAACGCUGCAAAUCCAUCUUGGUAAAUUAACACGUACUUAACACGUGUAGAAAUAAAAAAAAAAAAA